UACGUAGGUGGCAAGCGUUGUCCGGAAUUAUUGGGCGUAAAGGGCUCGCAGGCGGUUUUUUAAGUCUGAUGUGAAAUCUUGUGGCUUAACCACAAGCGGUCAUUGGAAACUGAAAGACUUGAGUACAGAAGAGGAGAGUGGAAUUCCACGUGUAGCGGUGAAAUGCGUAGAGAUGUGGAGGAACACCAGUGGCGAAGGCGACUCUCUGGUCUGUAACUGACGCUGAGGAGCGAAAGCGUGGGGAGCGAACAGG
rnacentral:rRNA from 1 species